rnacentral:rRNA from 1 species
AUUGAACGCUGGCGGCAGGCCUAACACAUGCAAGUCGAGCGGAUGAAGGGAGCUUGCUCCUGGAUUCAGCGGCGGACGGGUGAGUAAUGCCUAGGAAUCUGCCUGGUAGUGGGGGAUAACGUCCGGAAACGGGCGCUAAUACCGCAUACGUCCUGAGGGAGGAAGUGGGGGAUCUUCGGACCUCACGCUAUCAGAUGAGCCUAGGUCGGAUUAGCUAGUUGGUGGGGUAAAGGCCUACCAAGGCGACGAUCCGUAACUGGUCUGAGAGGAUGAUCAGUCACACUGGAACUGAGACACGGUCCAGACUCCUACGGGAGGCAGCAGUGGGGAAUAUUGGACAAUGGGCGAAAGCCUGAUCCAGCCAUGCCGCGUGUGUGAAGAAGGUCUUCGGAUUGUAAAGCACUUUAAGUUGGGAGGAAGGGCAGUAAGUUAAUACCUUGCUGUUUUGACGGUACCAACAGAAUAAGCACCGGCUAACUUCGUG